UUUUUUGUUUUUCCUUUUUUUUAGGAGUGGGUCUUUGCCAGCAAAGACAACGCAGAAGGUUGCAGAGAAGGGAAGGUGUGUGAGAUAGGGAGGCACAGAAUGCCUGGAGAGUUUGGGAGAGGAAUAUCAUCUCCAUGAAGAAAGAGGUCCUUUCUGUCUCACCACUGUAAACCCUAUACAGUCUAGCCCUGUGUGAUGAACAAAUAUAUUACUGUUUCACUUUGGACAUGAUUUCUAUUUGAUGGAUUCUUUAUGGAUGCUGAGGUUGUUUGUGUGACAAUUACUAGUAUGAUUUUCUUAAGGGUUUUACAGAUGUGGAUCACAAUUACAUGGAUUUGAUCCUCACACCAAAUGUGGGAGAUGGUGAGGGUGUUAUCAUCAUUAUACAGAGGAGGAAACUGCGCCUAAAGAAGAUGGCGAUGGCUUUUC